GCUGGAAGUGUGGUAAGGUUGGUCACUUUAAGAGAGACUGUAAAUUGAUGAAGAACAACAACAAGUUUGGUUCAAAGAACAAGAAUGAGGCUGGUCCUAACGGGUCCAAGGCCCCGGGCAAACAAGGAUGAUGAUAUUGCUUGGUGGGUUGAUUCAGGUGCAACAAGCCAUGUAUGCAAGGAUAUCCGUUGGUUUAAAGACUUUCAACCAAUUGAAGACGAAUCUUUCAUCAAGAUGGGGAAUAUUGCAACUGAACCAAUUAAAGGAAUAUGAACCGUGCAGCUUGUUUUUACUUCUGGAAAAUCUUUACUUUUGAACAAUGUUUUGUAUGCGCCCGAAAUUCGAAAGAAUCUGUUAA